rnacentral:rRNA from 1 species
GACGAACGCUGGCGGCGUGCCUAAUACAUGCAGGUCGAGCGGACUUUCAAGAAGCUUGCUUUUUGAAAGUUAGCGGCGGACGGGUGAGUAACACGUGGGCAACCUGCCUGCAAGACGGGGAUAACUCCGGGAAACCGGGGCUAAUACCGGAUAAUAUCUUCCUUCGCAUGAAGGAAGGUUGAAAGGCGGCGCAAGCUGCCGCUUGCAGAUGGGCCCGCGGCGCAUUAGCUAGUUGGUGAGGUAACGGCUCACCAAGGCGACGAUGCGUAGCCGACCUGAGAGGGUGAUCGGCCACACUGGGACUGAGACACGGCCCAGACUCCUACGGGAGGCAGCAGUAGGGAAGCUUCCGCAAUGGACGAAAGUCUGACGGAGCAACGCCGCGUGAGCGAAGAAGGUCUUCGGAUCGUAAAGCUCUGUUGUCAGGGAAGAACAAGUACCGUUCGAACAGGGCGGUACCUUGACGGUACCUGACCAGAAAGCCACGGCUAACUACGUG